rnacentral:rRNA from 1 species
UGGGGAAUAUUGCACAAUGGGCGAAAGCCUGAUGCAGCAACGCCGCGUGAGUGAUGAAGGUCUUCGGAUUGUAAAGCUCUGUCUUUUGGGACGAUAAUGACGGUACCAAAGGAGGAAGCCACGGCUAACUACGUGCCAGCAGCCGCGGUAAUACGUAGGUGGCGAGCGUUGUCCGGAUUUACUGGGCGUAAAGGGUGCGUAGGCGGAUGUUUAGGUGAGAUGUGAAAUACCCGGGCUUAACUUGGGUGCUGCAUUUCAAACUGGAUAUCUAGAGUGCAGGAGAGGAGAACGGAAUUCCUAGUGUAGCGGUGAAAUGCGUAGAGAUUAGGAAGAACACCAGUGGCGAAGGCGAUUCUCUGGACUGUAACUGACGCUGAGGCACGAAAAGCGUGGGUAGCAAACAGGAUUAGAUACCCUGGUAGUCCACGCCGUAAACGAUGAGUACUAGGUGUAGGAGGUAUCGACCCCUUCUGUGCCGCAGUAAAACACAUUAAGUACUCCGCCUGGGAAGUACGAUCGCAAGAUUAAAAC